rnacentral:rRNA from 1 species
UGGGGAAUUUUGGACAAUGGGCGAAAGCCUGAUCCAGCAAUGCCGCGUGUGUGAAGAAGGCCUUCGGGUUGUAAAGCACUUUUGUCCGGAAAGAAAUCCUUGGCUCUAAUACAGUCGGGGGAUGACGGUACCGGAAGAAUAAGCACCGGCUAACUACGUGCCAGCAGCCGCGGUAAUACGUAGGGUGCAAGCGUUAAUCGGAAUUACUGGGCGUAAAGCGUGCGCAGGCGGUUUGCUAAGACCGAUGUGAAAUCCCCGGGCUCAACCUGGGAACUGCAUUGGUGACUGGCAGGCUAGAGUAUGGCAGAGGGGGGUAGAAUUCCACGUGUAGCAGUGAAAUGCGUAGAGAUGUGGAGGAAUACCGAUGGCGAAGGCAGCCCCCUGGGCCAAUACUGACGCUCAUGCACGAAAGCGUGGGGAGCAAACAGGAUUAGAUACCCUGGUAGUCCACGCCCUAAACGAUGUCAACUAGUUGUUGGGGAUUCAUUUCCUUAGUAACGUAGCUAACGCGUGAAGUUGACCGCCUGGGGAGUACGGUCGCAAGAUUAAAACUCAAAUGAAUUGACGGGGUCAUAACU